rnacentral:rRNA from 1 species
GUGGGGAAUAUUGGACAAUGGGCGCAAGCCUGAUCCAGCAAUGCCGCGUGAGUGAUGAAGGCCUUAGGGUUGUAAAGCUCUUUUACCCGGGAUGAUAAUGACAGUACCGGGAGAAUAAGCUCCGGCUAACUCCGUGCCAGCAGCCGCGGUAAUACGGAGGGAGCUAGCGUUGUUCGGAAUUACUGGGCGUAAAGCGCGCGUAGGCGGCUAUUCAAGUCAGGGGUGAAAGCCCGGGGCUCAACCCCGGAACUGCCUUUGAAACUAGGUAGCUAGAAUCUUGGAGAGGCGAGUGGAAUUCCGAGUGUAGAGGUGAAAUUCGUAGAUAUUCGGAAGAACACCAGUGGCGAAGGCGACUCGCUGGACAAGUAUUGACGCUGAGGUGCGAAAGCGUGGGGAGCAAACAGGAUUAGAAACCCGGGUAGUCC